rnacentral:rRNA from 1 species
GAUCAUGGCUCAGGAUGAACGCUAGCUACAGGCUUAACACAUGCAAGUCGGGGGGGCAGCAUGGUCUUAGCUUGCUAAGGCCGAUGGCGACCGGCGCACGGGUGAGUAACGCGUAUCCAACCUGCCUUACACUCUUGGACAGCCUUCUGAAAGGGAGAUUAAUACAAGAUGUUAUCAUGAGUAAGCAUUUUCGCAUGAUUAAAGGUUUACCGGUGUAAGAUGGGGAUGCGUUCCA